AACGCGAAGAACCUUACCUGGGCUCGAAAUGCAGAGGGAGAUACCAGAAAUGGUAUCGUCCGCAAGGACUUCUGUAUAGGUGCUGCAUGGCUGUCGUCAGCUCGUGCCGUGAGGUGUUUGGUUAAGUCCAGCAACGAGCGCAACCCUUAUCAUUAGUUGCCAACACGUAAGGUGGGGACUCUAAUGAGACUGCCUAGGUUAACUAGGAGGAAGGCGAGGAUGACGUCAAGUCCGCAUGGCCUUUAUGUCCAGGGCUACACACGUGCUACAAUGGUCGGUACAGAGGGCUGCAAGACCGUAAGGUGGAGCAAAUCCCAGAAAGCCGAUCUCAGUUCAGAUUGUGGACUGCAACUCGUCCACAUGAAGUCGGAAUUGCUAGUAAUGGCGCGUCAGCAACAGCGCCGUGAAUACGUUCCCGGGCCUUGUACACACCGGUAUCUC
rnacentral:rRNA from 1 species